UAUGUUGCCUUUGUACUUACAUGUAGUCUGCGCAGGGCGCACGACAAAUAGGAUUUGGUCUUAAAAAGAGAGAGGUCAUCGAUGGAUGUUCGAAACAAUACACAUCGAUCGCCGCCACAUUCGAUAAAGACAAGAUAUCCUGAAGGAAGAUCGUUAUGAUUAAACCCGUUAGGGGAGAAGACAUCUCAAUUCAAUAUUAUCACCGUCGUCAUCGUCAACGGUUUGCUAUAGUAUCAACAGCUUAUUACUGAAGUACAAGAAACUGCUUAGGGCUUUAUUGCCAAAGCCUGUUGUCGUAUAAUUAAAUAAUUUCCCAUUCUGAAACCAUCAGCUGCGUUUGCCCUCAAGAUUCACUCGGAAAAGAAUAUAGGUACAUUUAUUUUAUUUGUACAGUUUUCAAUAUAAGAAUUAUUUACUAA